AAAAAAUAGAAUAAAAUCAAUCUUUUCAUCUGCAUAAUGAUUUGCCUUGUUUGAAUUCUAAAAUCUCUUUUAUAUCCAAAAUCAUUAUGCAGGUUGAUCAAACCCAUUGAACAUAAUGAAUAAAAUCAAUCUUUUCAUCUGCAUAAUGAUUUGCCUUGUUUGAAUUCUAAAAUCUCUUUUAUAUCCAAAAUCAUUAUGCAGGUUGAUCAAACCCAUUGAACAUAAUGAUCCAACAC
rnacentral:lncRNA from 1 species